AUGAAGUGAACACAGUGUUAUAUAUCACCCUCAGGAGGCCUUCUCUGAUCACUGCCUACCUUCACUCAGUGGGGAUCCCUCCUGCCCCUCCUCAGUGGGCUGUGUCAACUCUCCUACUGUCUGCCACAGUGUUGUCUGUAGAGAGGUUGAACAUCUUGACACUCCGAGGAAUAACACGCUAGUCUAUGCCAUUGAUGGUGUUGUGCUGAUUGGACUUCGGCGAGCAGGGAUACCAACUAUUUAGGUUCCUUACGAAGACACAAGUGAGCCAGAGAGAAGGAAAGCUUUGAGAAUUUUUGAAUAGCUGGGAAAAAAGUAGAAAAAAUGCGAGCUAGUUCUUAUGGAAUUGGGGGACCUCAAAAGAUGCUAUGAACAGAUUUGGACAUAUUUUGUAAUAUGUGCUUGUUUCUAAUGAACAAAAAAAACCUGUCUUCUUAAUUAGGAUGAAUGUAAUUUGGAGGAAUCUUUGAACUGUUGCCUACCGACAAUCAAACCUGAAAAAUCCAAAUCUAACAUGACUGAAUGGCUGAUGGGUGUUUUGAAAUGACAGCUUUUUGAUUAAUUAGAAAUUAAAGCAGCAUGUCACUUCACAUGUAAAACUGAAAGUGCUCCAUCUAAACAUCCUCUUCAGAUAAUUAAAAUGUGACAUGUAAUGCCAGUUGAUUGACUUU